UACGUAGGGUGCAAGCGUUAUCCGGAAUUAUUGGGCGUAAAGAGCUCGUAGGCGGUUUGUCGCGUCUGCCGUGAAAGUCCGGGGCUCAACUCCGGAUCUGCGGUGGGUACGGGCAGACUAGAGUGCAGUAGGGGAGACUGGAAUUCCUGGUGUAGCGGUGAAAUGCGCAGAUAUCAGGAGGAACACCGAUGGCGAAGGCAGGUCUCUGGGCUGUAACUGACGCUGGAGGAGCGAAAAGCAUGGGGAGCGAACAGG
rnacentral:rRNA from 1 species